rnacentral:rRNA from 1 species
UACAGAGGGGGCAAGCGUUGUUCGGAAUUACUGGGCGUAAAGGGCGCGUAGGCGGCCUUCUAAGUCAGACGUGAAAUCCCUAGGCUCAACCUAGGAACUGCGUCUGAUACUGGAUGGCUUGAAUCCGGGAGAGGGAUGCAGAAUUCCAGGUGUAGCGGUGAAGUGCGUAGAUAUCUGGAGGAAUACCGGUGGCGAAGGCGGCAUCCUGGACCGGCAUUGACGCUGAGGAGCGAAAGCCAGGGGAGCAAACGGG